CAUUCUUUGAUCUGCUGACUGGACCUGAGAUCCUGUUCCUGACUGGACUGACACAUGAAAACUGGUGCUAUGAUUACAAAGGUUAUAAAAUGUGCAGUCCUCCAGUUGAAGAGGCAUGGACUGGGAGCUGCCAAAAUAAGGACAAUCCCCAAUUAACACUCUGAGCACAAGAGUCAAGAAUCUUCCCUCACUGGGUCGUUUGAGGUUCAAGAACUAUGAAAUGAAGAAUGUAAGGCCUAUUAAAAACAAUGGGUUUUCUGGUCAGUCA
rnacentral:lncRNA from 1 species